rnacentral:misc_RNA from 1 species
GGGAACUACAAAUAGCUUUGCAAGAGGCUGAAAGGAGAUAUGAUUUGGCAAGGGCCGCUGAUUUGAGAUAUGGAGCAAUCCAAGAGGUAGAAUCUGCAAUAGCACGGAUUGAAGGGAACACUGAUGAGAAUCUAAUGUUGACCGAAACUGUUGGACCGGAACAAGUAGCAGAAGUGGUGAGCCGCUGGACAGGAAUACCUGUCACGAGGCUCGGCCAGAAUGACAAAGAGAGACUAGUCGGACUUGCUGAUAGAUUGCACAAGAGAGUUGUGGGGCAGAAUCAAGCUGUGGAUGCUGUUGCCG